rnacentral:rRNA from 1 species
AGUAGCGGGGGAUAGCCCGGAGAAAUCCGGAUUAAUACCGCAUACGCCCUACGGGGGAAAGCAGGGGAUCUUCGGACCUUGCACUAUUGGAUGAGCCUGCGUCGGAUUAGCUUGUUGGUGAGGUAAAGGCUCACCAAGGCGACGAUCCGUAGCUGGUCUGAGAGGAUGAUCAGCCACACUGGGACUGAGAUACGGCCCAGACUCCUACGGGAGGCAGCAGUGGGGAAUAUUGCACAAUGGGCGAAAGCCUGAUGCAGCCACGCCGCGUGUGUGAAGAAGGCUCUAGGGUUGUAAAGCACUUUCAGCGAGGAGGAAAGGUUGAUGAUUAAUACUCAUUAGCUGUGACGUUACCCGCAGAAGAAGCACCGGCUAACUCCGUGCCAGCAGCCGCGGUAAUACGGAGGGUGCAAGCGUUAAUCGGAAUUACUGGGCGUAAAGCGUGCGUAGGCGGUUAAAUAAGUUGGAUGUGAAAGCCCUGGGCUCAACCUAGGAACUGCACCCAAAACUGUUUAACUAGAGUACGAGAGAGGAGUGUGGAAUUUCCUGUGUAGCGGUGGAAUGCGUAGAUAUAGGAAGGAACACCAGUGGCGAAGGCG